UCCCCUCUGGCUCAGCUGGUAAAGAAUCCGCUUGCAAUGUGGGAGACCUGGGUUUGAUCCCCGGGUUGGGAA
rnacentral:tRNA from 1 species